CCAGACUCCUACGGGAGGCAGCAGUGGGGAAUAUUGCACAAUGGGGGAAACCCUGAUGCAGCGACGCCGCGUGAGCGAUGAAGUAUUUCGGUAUGUAAAGCUCUAUCAGCAGGGAAGAAAAUGACGGUACCUGACUAAGAAGCCCCGGCUGACUACGUGCCAGCAGCCGCGGUAAUACGUAGGGGGCAAGCGUUAUCCGGAUUUACUGGGUGUAAAGGGAGCGUAGACGGCGAUGCAAGCCAGAUGUGAAAGCCCGGGGCUCAACCCCGGGACUGCAUUUGGAACUGUAUAGCUAGAGUGUCGGAGAGGCAGGCGGAAUUCCUAGUGUAGCGGUGAAAUGCGUAGAUAUACGGAGGAACACCAGUGGCGAAGGCGGAUUGCUGGACAGUAACUGACGCUGAGGCGCGAAAGCGUGGGGAGCAAACAGGAUUAGAUACCCGAGUAA
rnacentral:rRNA from 1 species